UUGGUGGUAGAAGGACAGUUGGACUUGAUGAUCCUGGAGGUCUUUACAACUUUGGUGAUUCUAUGAUUCUGUUUUUGUGUUACUUACAGUGACUCCAUUGACUCAUAAGCAUUCUCCUUCUCUGGCUGCCUUUGACACGGCUUCUCUUGUACAGGGAUAUCAGGCUCAGCUGUAGGGUCAAUCUCCGAUAUUUCACUAUUGCACUGUUAGAAACACAUAACAAUGUUAAGAAAUAAAUAUUCUUGCUCUGUCUACAGAAAAAAAGAAUCUCAAUUACCUUGUUUCAUUCAGUGUUUGUGCUGUUUAAGACCAUUAGUUAGUACAGCUUGGUUUACCUCAAGUAAUUCACUUCCCAGAAACUGCAAGCUAGAAAUGUGGUUGAAACUUAGAAAUUCAUCCUGUCUGGUAUAAUAGAUACUAUCUUUUAAGUUGGAACAUAACCAGCUAUAUUUUCAUAUAUGACCACUUAAAGUUUGGUAAUAUUAAUUUAGGAAAGUCUUUCAAUAAGAUUAUAUAUGUAUAAUUUAUUUCAUUUAAAGCACUUAGAUCAUAUGAUAAAAUUAAGUUGUUCAUGCCCUUCAGUUAUCUGUACAGGCUUUGGAGAGAGGCAGUGACAUCUGCAGAAGCCUGCCUGGCCUAACGAGCUUCUCAUGACCACUGACUGCAUGGGAAACCGUGAGAAAUGAACCUCCCAAAUUCAGUGCCAGUAUUUAUUUAAGAUUACCAGUAUGAUUCUUCCUGCUCCCUUCUUUCACACUGAAAUGCACACAUCAAAAUGUUUCCUGGCAUUUAAAAAUUACUGCUUGGCUUUAUGCCACUCACUGAUGCUAAUGAUUUGAAGUAACACUGAAGAUGAUGUGCAGUUAGUGCAGUUUUCAUUGUUGGUAAAACGAAUGUCGAUGCAAUUGACAAAAGUCAUUUACAGCUGUCAGUUUGAGGAAUUUCAACAAAAUCAGCAGUAUGUUUUGUGAAAAUGCCACUUUUUAGCAGAAAGACCCUUUGGAUUCAGCAUUUUUCUUGUACACAUUGAAGCUUUAUUACCUGUUGCUUUAUCUACGUACUUCUGUGGCAAGGUAUGAAUUGGUUCCUCAUACCAUUUCCUCUUUGGGUCUUUAUGUGUGUCUGUCUCCUUGGAGCUGUUAACAAAACAGGACUCACAACUAAUAAACUACCUUUGCUAAAAGACUGCUGGGAGUUUGGUAAUAUGGUUCUUCUUCCUUUUCGAGAUCUUCGUUUGAAUCUGAUGACAGAUUUUCCUCAGUCUUUCCCAGAGUUUUAUCCUGCGAAAAAAAUGUUUUUAUUUGAACAGGUUCACUUAUAUGGAUUGUUUAACAUGGAUUUUGCCAUUUCCUAGUGAAUGUCUACAGGAAACACAUGCACAAAUUGGCACUAGUGUCAGUAUUUCUCCUGGAUGGAUUUGUGGUAACUAGGCAGUUGCAAUUGACUUCAUGUUCAAAACUGUUAUUUUGUUUAAAAAUCAAGUAGGCUGAAUACUAUAUGUAUGAUUCUGCAUGCUUUUAUGUGCUUGUGGGCAAAACUCGUAUUUGUCUUAAAGUUUUUACACGAGGAAAAAAUCUAUGGGAAAUCUGGAAGAGGAUUGGGAGAUAUUUGUCGCUUUUAGGCAGUUUUUAAAUAUUAUCAAGUAAAGAAUGCAUUUGGGACUUCACUUGACUAAUGAAAAGUUUAUUAACUCUCAUUUCUAGAGGUUUCUUAUUCUUUCUCAUAGUCCAGGGGCUGAAGAUCUGAUACUGAAUCCUUUGUGUCCUGAACGAUGUUCGUUAAUACCUCAAUUAUUAAGUCUGCGGCUAUUUGCUCGAUUACUCUGAUUCAACUGCUGCUUGCAGAGGCUGCAGAAGGAAGCCCAGAAGAGUGUGGCACAGCUGCAAAAUAUGACAGCAGGGACAAAUCCUCAAGCACUGCGGCUUCAGAGUAGUCUUUUAUCAACCUCGGGAGAGCUGCCUCAAGGUGCAAUCUCUGCUUGGAAACUCUGAGGAACUGCCCCCAAGAAAAGAGCCUGGCUUUGAGAGCAGUGCCCUGGGCGAAGGUGUGGAGUGGAACGCUCAAGUGGCACACAGGUACUUCAGGAUGUAAUCGCCCUUGUUGGAUUUGGACAGGAUGAAAAAGCGCCUUUUCCACGAAUUCUGCCAAAGAGGAAGUCAUUUGUCUCUUGUUAAAACCUAGGAUAGCAGAAGUAUCUGACGUUUGGUGGGAGAUUGCUGGAAUAUGACUGAUCUGUGUUCAUGUACCUUGGAGUUGAUAAGAUGAUGCGGUGGUGACUUGAUGAAGAAACCAUGCUUGAAAAGUCCACCUUCAGGGCAAAAUGGGUUUUGAGCUUCUACUAAUCAAAGAGAAAUGAAUGGCACCAUUACUCUAUUUGUUGCCGAUUAAUCUCUUAAAAGAAGCUCCUUGAAAUGAAAAUUGUUGCUAAGCACUUGGUUUCUGAGCUUAAAUGACCAUAAAGCACAUUCAAUUAGAGAAGAGAAACACAAAUCAAAGCUAUAAAAUACAGGACCAGUCCCUGCUUCCUUGAUGUCAUUGUUACUGCUGACAACUGGCCAAAGCUGUCAGCAAAUGAUAGAGGUAAUGUACUGUGUUGAGAGAGGUGGCUCAGAAGAUAUCAUGAAGCUCUGUCUUAUUUAAAGUUCUUAUUUAACUUCUGGGGUCUGGUCUUUCUUAGCUUCCUCAUUAGUGAACUGAAAGGCAGUAAAUGGCACCCUAAUGAAAUCUGUACGAAUUCAAUACGGACAGGCAAACACCUCAAAUGAUAGAUGAUCUUACACUGCAGAUCACGAUGCAGCAACUGGGAGAAGUCUUACAGGGUAAAUAUAAGCUAAAAGCUUAGGGUUAAAAAUACGUGAAUAUAUUUGUUCGCAACCCUACAUACAAUCAGGUUUUCUCACCACUGGUGGAUUUCUGAUCAACAGCUCAGUUUACUAACACCCAGUGAAAGGAGUACCAAUCUCAUUCCAUUUUUUAAGCCAUAAGCCCAAUAGGAGAUGUUAAUGCUUUUAAAGAAUCCAGUGACUGAAGAAAGGGCAGUCAACCUCCAACAGUCUAGUGCAAGUUCUGGGAAAGACUGUAAUACAUCAACAUCCAACUCUGUGGAGAGAAACACUUGGUUCUGAGAUCCCAUUUACUACUGACUUCAGGGGAGUAGCCUCCCCAGCUGUACCCUAGGAACAUUGCAUCGCACCUGUUCCUGAUACUGCCUUGGCAGCAAGAUAAGCUCUGUGUGCCCUGAAAGUGCAAGAACACAGCGGUGCGCAUCUUUCAGAAGCAAAAGACGAAGUGUCCUCCCUGAACUGACUGCUGACUUAUAGCUGGUGUAUGAACACAAACACCCUGAAAUAUGACCCACAAGGAAAUUCCAGUUUCUGCCUGGAGAAGCAAAUUAAAGACUGUUCCAAAAGGGGAAACCCAGAUUAAUAUUCACUUACAAACAAUUAAAAAAAUACCUGUUUGUGGCAGCCAUGAAUGUCUCCCAGGAGGAAAAAAGCCUGGAGGAGGAAACCUUUGGUCUACCAGGAGAGAUCUCUUAAAACCUGGUAAUACCUAUUUGCUUGACGCCUUAGAGAGCUUCAGAUAUUAGUGUUUUGCCUUUCUUCCUAGAGAGACAGCUACUGCUUCACCUGUUAGUUGGAAAUUCCCAAGUUGUCUGCAUUUACUGUCCAUAAGAGUAAAUGUACAACAAGAUCUGUAGGGACCCACUCUGUCCCUCCUUUUUUUAAGACAUCACGUCAAGUGGGGCAAGAAGCUUUUCCUACUGCUAGAGUAAACUAACCAAUGCUAAUUGCUUCUAUUCCUUGUCACCACUCACCGGGAACCUCACCAGCCACAAGCUGAAUCAGGGACUGUUGGUGAGGCAGCUACGGAGUGGUGAGAUGCACACAAACCCUGGCAACAGGACAGAGGUAUUUAAUGAUCCACCUUAAUUGCAAGCAAUUUUGAAUAGCACUGAUGGCCUUUUGCUUCACUUGACAGAAGUUGGUAAAGUCUACAUUUUUGCAGUGCUUCUGAGCAAAGAUAGAUUGGCAGUAGUUUUUUAAAUAAUUAAAGAUUGUUCUCAAACAACCUUUAUGAAUAAACUGCACAAGAAGAAGUCUGCUCCUUAACUAUUAUACUGUUACAUUUCUUGGCAUUAUUUCAUAAACCUCAAGUGCUCUGUUUCAGAACCCCUACUUGCUCCCUUAUUGUUCCCAAGGCUUUGUGGCUUCAGAACCACAACGUCCCUCAAUGAAAGGGUGGUUUUGGUGUCAGGGUAUCUUUGUUAGCAGAACCAGCUUAGUAAAAAUCUACCAGCGAAGUGCAAUGAAGUGUAAGAGCUGUGUAAAAGUGUAAGAGUAGAGAAAAUGUUGAAUUGAUACAUUUCUCAUGGUAAAACAUUUCUGGUAUUUCUCCAGUGCUAGAAAACAGUUUAAGAUAGAGCUGUUUGCAGGAACUAAUAAGAACGUUUUCAUAUGAACCACUAGAGCACCGUACAGUGUGAUGUAUACAAACACUUUAUGCACUGGGCAAGAUUAAGGGCUGGCAAAUCAGGAGAUUUCCAUUAAAAUCUUUUCAAUAAUUCUGGUUUACUCUAAAGAAAGGAUCCAGCCUACUUAACCCAAACAAUCAAAUGCCAGCUUAUACUACCAAACUACUUUCCAGCUGACACAGGAAACCUCAUCUUGAUAAAGAUGCAGAAGACCAACAUUCAAGACUGAGAAAAAUUGUGGGACGUAUUUUGGUUGGUUUUCACUUCACCAGAUCAAAUGACCAACAGGCAGACGUUCAUAGGAAAUUAAAAAAACAGGUCUUUAUUGAUAUUAUGCUCAAGACUUUCACAAAACAAUAAUUUAUUUAAUUCAAACAAUUGUAAAUUUGACUUAUGAAAAAGAUAUGCCUCGCUAUGCUACAUUUCCUGUAAGAAAAUAUACUCAAUAAAGAGAUAACUCAGCAUGCACCUGUUUUCUUAGAUUUAAAAAAAGUAAGAGUCCAUAACUAGGAAAAGGGUGAAUAACCUAUCAUUUAUCAGUCUAAUCAAACCAUUAAAAUUACUUUUUUGAGCUAUCAUAUUUAAAAAGAAUAUAAAAAUUAGAAAUAUAAGCAUCAUUGACAUAACUCCAAAGUACAAAAUCAAGACAAUAUAUUAACUAAAAAGGCACUUCUGGUUUCUGAUUCAAGUAUUUCUGGUCUUGGUGAAAUUCCUCACAGAUAGAAGUUAAAUCUAAACGUGCAUUUCUUACUGAAAUACAUAAUUCUGGUGUUUCAACAUUAAAUUGUAAUGUUUUAUAACAAAGUCUAGACAUCAACUUUUUCUGGGUUCAAAACUUAUGAAUCAACAUGCAGGUGUUCUUAUUUCUGCAAGCAGAGAAACUGCACGACUACUGUGUCAGGCUGUUCUCUCAGUUAAUUGCCAUCUGCAAAAAUCUUCACAAUGGUAUUUUGUUAAGGUAUUAUCUAAUUAGUUUGCCUACUUUUAGAAAAACCAAAAUGAAAAUCUUUCUAUUUGAUACAUUUCCAUACCAUUCAGCUGAAUUAUCUGCAAAUAAAAUUAACCUUACGCUAGAAUGAUAACUAAAUUGACAUCCAUAUUAAGCACAGUGCAUCCAUUACUCUUCUUUAAGAGUGUUCUAAAAUGGAAAUAAAUUUAUUAGACUAAGAAGCACCCUUCUGAAUAGCUACAAAGUCAGUUUCACCUCUGGACAUAUUUAUUGUAUGAUGGUCUUUGGAAAUUUCCAAGGAAGUUACAAUUCCAUGAGAUUGCAGUGAAAUAAAAGAUGGAGCUUCAUUUAUAUGUUUUUUUUACAGAUUUUCCAAUCUGUUUUUUGGAGUAAACCUUUAUGGGUCAGGUAACUGACUCUCAGACAGCUACACUAAGAGAAAUCAAAACUAUUUGUAAGAGAAUCAUGGAGUCUACGAUUCUAAUACAAAUUAGAAAUUAGCUACAGGAUUGAUUGAGGGCAUGUAGGUGGUCUUUAAAAUAUUGCCUAUUGUCCAUUUGUCAUGUACCCCAGCUUAUACAAUAUGUAAAUCUAGAGUCAUUACAGUUCUGUUAUUAAAAAUUGUGUUACUGCAAUUUAUAAUCAAAUCUUCACCCCCAAAUUUAUCCCGAUCUCACAUUACUGGCUGUAUUAAAUAUGCUUUCAGAAGUAAAGUUCCUUAGUAAGCAUAGAGACUACACAAGGAAUCUGCUUCUUCUCACUGAAGCGUGGAUCAUCAGACUGUGAUUCAAAAUUCGUGGCAACCACAUAGUUGACCCGUGUGAGGAUCUGCAUGAUCUCAAGUUGUUUUCCGUGUUCAUUUAGCACAGAGCACAGAGACUGCACAAACCAAGAGCCUCUUCCAGGAUUCCUCCAAGAAUAAUAACCUUACAGAAAAGAGAUAAAAGAGCGUGCUUUUUUCCCUCUUCCUUCUUAAGACUUUGCUCUGAAGAGUGGAACAUCAGAGAGAAAUGUACCAGUUUGUGUGAAAGAUUCUGGAUAAGCAGUAACUGCACACAAAAACUUCAGUUGUUAUUACUCCUGUCACAAAUCUUGUUUCACAGACAAGGAAAAUAAUGUGUAUUACCUCUCCAACCUUCAGCAUAUUAAGGUACAAUUCUCUAUGUUUUCAUAAAGCAUAUUUUUGCAAAGGUUCAUGCUAUAGCCCAUCCUCUUCUUGCAUGUAAAUUCAACAUAGUUACUAAACUAGCCUAUCUAAGGUUGAUAUUGCCUUCCUCUGCCAUCUGUAAUGCCUGUGCUUUGUCACCUGCCAGAUUUGGGCUUCCUCCUGUUUCAGCUCAUUGCAAAAGUAGUAAAUGGAACACACUGGCCAAACCAAACACCAUGUCUUAGCAUUUUGUCCAUCGCUACUGAAGCUGUGAUGCAUAAGGGCAGAGAAAAAGCCAGUUCUGUAAAAAUAACACGUUUUAUUGGAGUAACUAUUAUAGAUAAAAAAUGUUGAUUGGCAACUGAAGAUAGGAUAAAUUUUUAGGCUUCUUGCCUCUAAAACUCCCUUCCCACCCCUCUCCCUUUUUUCUUUUUUUUUUUUUUUUUUUACCUGGCACAGUGGAAUAUGCAAACAGAAAAUCUGCUUCUACUGGGAUUUUGUAUCUAGGAUUGGCAUCUGUUUCCAGAGUGUCAUUUGCAGGUCCAGAGUCAGUUUGUAUACCUUCAUCAAACUCAGAGCCUCGGCAUGCCUGAAACACCAGUGAAGAUGAAGAGAACUUGACCAGUAAGGAGAAAUGAGAACGCAUUGUCUCAGGAUUGCUUCUGAAAUCCCCAGACCUUUUGGCAUUGGAGAAGAGCUUGAUUCUUGUUAUUAUAGGGUAGUCAGCCUUUAAGUCCAGGCAAGAAGAUUAUGGCAGUGGCAGACUGAUGAAGUCCACAGUACCGAUCUUCUCAGUUUCAGGUUCUUCUCCAAUUAAGAAAAGGGGAAAUCUUUCUAGGAACUUGGAAGACAGAGAAACCCAGUUCAGAACAUCUAGAAACUAAAUGUGAAGAAAAGGAGUUGAGCUGUUUGAAAGAAGAAGCUUCAGGCUAGAACUUGUGGCAUCCUUUGUACACUACAGGCCCAAAAAUAUAAAAUGGACAACUCUGGAAAAGAUACACAGCUUUGAGAUGGAAAAAAUAUAAACUAUGUGAAACUGUUCUUUGUCAAGUACUAACUGCAAAACUUCCUAUGAACCGAAUAUAAAGAAACUGUUGAUAAUCAAAACUGGGUACAAAACACCUCCUGAAAAAAAUGGAGGAACAACAAAAAAGCAAGACUGAAACAAAGACAAUUUUCCACUCCUUUGGAGCUCCAUAGCUGAGGUUCAGCUGAAGUUGAAUCUCAAAAAUGAGUAUUUAUUCUUUGAAGGACAAGAUUAUUUAUGUUGAGAAAUGUGACUAUACUGAGAUAGAGCUCAUGAAGUUAAAACAGCUUAAGUAACAUUGCACUUCCUUAUUUUUGUGUCCUGUAGCCUAAAUUAACGCCAUAUGAAUGAAAAACAAACAAGACAACAUUCCUAUGUAUCUUUCGAAUCUAAAUACUAGUUGUACGGUAACUGUUGAGUCAGGGCUUGAACCACUGAUUGAUCACCUGUGGAAAGGACAGAGUCAGCCCUGGGAGCACAGGUGAAGGCAAUUCAGCUGCAUGACCAGAGGGGUGAAGCCUGGCUGCACUUCUCUUAGACCUCAUUUAAGGGCUGACUACUGCUGGGGUGGGAUCUCUGGUUGGAGAGCCUUCUCUUGUAGAGUUUUUUUCCUGUAAGCCUGGAUCUUCAGAGAUGGGUGAGCACUUCUUUUCCUCUGUAAUGCCUUUCUGUGGCACUAGUGCCUUUGCUGUUACACUUCCUGUAUCACCAUUCCACUGUAUUGCUCUUUCUGAUUGUUACAUGGGUUUACAAACUUUGGCUGUUUUAUUGGUAGGCAUCAUAACUCUUGAACUGUUGCAGUAAGAUAUGCACUGAUGUUUAUAGAAAGCUUCCAAAUUAAUUAGAAUGUAGUCCCAAACUUUAUGGUGGCCUGAUUUAGUAGAAAUAAAUAACUUUUACUGUUUUAAACAGCUGAAGGACUCUUAGUGAGCACACAUGGGUGUACCCCACCAGACUCAUGGAGAUCUUGUUACAAUACAUUUCACCUUUUUUACUCUAAAGAUACUACUGAAUCACACAGUUUCAGUGGUAAAUAGGCAUUUGUAACUCUUAAAUAUAUACUUAAACAACAUCUUCCCUUUCCAAAUAAGGGAUAUUUUGACUGUACAUCAGACAGCAGGGCUGCAGUGAAUAAAAGUAACCAAAGGACAAAGGGUUCUACAAAAUUAACGAGUAUAAAACUGGUAUCUGUACACUACUAACAACUACCUUCUUCUGCAUUAUACUUCUUCACUGAAGUUCACAGUCCUGAUUAUUGGACGUGUAAGUGCUGGUCUACCAAACCUUGGGAAUUUUUAGAUGCAGCUUUAAACAAACAAAUGACAAAACACAUUAGGAGUAAGAGAAAUUCUAGCUCUAGUUAACAAUGGGAGCUGAAUUCUAUUCCAUGCUAAAUUAUGCUACCUGGAUGCUCAAAUAGGUUUGGCUGCUAUGUUUCCUCAAUCCUCCUAACAGAGUUCUCUAGCUGAAGAUUCCAAGUAAAGAAACUAAAUAAUCUUUUGGAGAAGCGAGGUUAUUUCUAAGGUCUCAAAGAUGGUGAUGUGAGCACACACAGCACAGAAAAGUUUAUAUGGGAAAAGUUCUGUUUGCUUUUAAUUAUCAUUAAAAAAAAUUAAAAACGUGUCUCAAUUCCCAACUCAGUAUUUGCUAUCGUGUCUUUUAAAAUCUUGUUUUGCUCAAGGUUGCCGUAGUGCAUCUUGCUGUGUCUGCCUUCUGAAACGUAGUUUUUUUUGGUCAAUUGCGGGUCUCAUAAAGUUAGUCUUCUGCAAAUUUUGUAGUAAACAAAAGUAAAGCCUUUCUGCCAUCUAGUGGCUACAAAUACCAACAACCGCCUAACGAUCCCAAACACUUUUCUGCCGUUAUUGAAGUUGUAGCACUCUUUCCAAGAAAAGGAAAUACGUAGAAGAGAAUUCCCCCAAACUGUGGUGCACACAGAAGAGUCUGUCCUGUCUGUGGCUUGCUCUGAGCUCUGCUUCCUGCUUGGUGAGCCACGGUCGUGGUCUUAUUAGAGAAAUGUUGAAGAUUCUCACCUAUCUCUGUUUACUGCGAUGGCUAUCUACAUUUCUGUCCAGAGACAGAUAUCUGUGAAGGUACUGGAAGUAGUUGCUCUGUCUGCAUAGCUCUGAUUUUUAGUUUCUUGCUGUUCUGUUUUCUUUCUCGUUACAAUUCACGAGCUUGUUUAACAGUAGAAAAUACUUGUUUUCCCAUUGAGCUUAUCUUUUUUUAAGCUUACAUUUAAAUACGUUUUGAUUUUUUUUUUUAUAUAAGUGAAACUGUAUGCUGACUUCC